rnacentral:rRNA from 1 species
CAGCAGUCGCGGCAACACAAGGAAGACAAGUGUUAUUCAUCUUAAAUCGGUUUAAAGGGUACCUAGACGGUGAAUUAGGCCUUAAAUGGAACGUUUUUACUAGAGUUAUAUAUGCAUGAGGACUGUGUGAGUAUUACCAGAGUAGAGAUGUAAUUUUUUGAUACUGUUAAGACUGGUAAAGGCAAAAGCAAACCUUUAUAUAUUAACUGACGUUGAGGGACGAAGGCUUGGGGCGCAAACAGGAUUAGAUACCCCAGUAGUCCAGGCAGAGAAUUAUGAAUGUCAUAGAAUAGAUAUAAUAUUUAUCCUAUAAAUGAAAGUGUAAGCAUUCCACCUCAAGAGUAAUGUGGCAACGCAGGAACUGAAAUCAUUAGACCGUUUCUGAUACCAGUAGUGAAGUAUGUCGUUCAAUUUGUUAACCCUCAAAAAACCUUACCACAAUUUGAAUAUAUUUAAUAGAUAUAUAUUUUUAUAUCUUUAUUUAUACAAGCGUUGCAUUGUUGUCUUCAGUUAAUGUUGUGAGAUUUUGGUUAGAUUCAUUAAAUUAACGUAAUCCUAUAUUCUAUUUAAAUAUUAAUAGAUUAGUUCACCGCUAUAUUGGAUAUUGAUAACCGGGAGUAAGACUAGUCGUAAUGACCUUAAUAUUGUGGGCAAAUGAGACGUGCCACA